rnacentral:rRNA from 1 species
ACGGGAGGCAGCAGUAGGGAAUGUUGCACAAUGGGGGGAACCCUGAUGCAGCAACGCCACGUGUGGGAAGAAGCAUUUCGGUGUGUAAACCACUGUCGUGAGGGAAUAAUGCUUGGUCUCGGCCAAGUUGAAUGUACCUCGAAAGGAAGCACCGGCAAACUUCGUGCCAGCAGCCGCGGUAAUACGAGGGGUGCAAGCGUUGUUCGGAAUCACUGGGCGUAAAGGGAGCGUAGGCGGGGACGCAAGCAGUCUGUUCAAUACCGGGGCCCAACCCCGGACCUGCAGACUGGACUGUGUCUCUUGGAUAGUUCAGGGGCGGGCGGAAUUCCUGGUGUAGCGGUGGAAUGCGUAGAGAUCAGGAAGAACACCGAUGGCGAAGGCAGCCUGCUGGGGACUCAUCGACGCUGAGGCUCGAGAGUGCGGGUAGCAAACAGGAUUAGAUACCCUGGUA